GGGUGGUAAUGCCGGAUGCUCCAGUUGAUCGCAUGGUCUUCUGGGAAAGCUUUCGCGGUAUGGGAUGGGGGUCGCGUCCUAUCAGCUUGACGGCGGGGUAACGGCCCACCGUGGCUUCGACGGGUAGCCGGCCUGAGAGGGCGACCGGCCACAUUGGGACUGAGAUACGGCCCAGACUCCUACGGGAGGCAGCAGUGGGGAAUAUUGCACAAUGGGCGCAAGCCUGAUGCAGCGACGCCGCGUGAGGGAUGGAGGCCUUCGGGUUGUAAACCUCUUUUAUCGGGGAGCAAGCGAGAGUGAGUUUACCCGUUGAAUAAGCACCGGCUAACUACGUGCCAGCAGCCGCGGUAAUACGUAGGGUGCAAGCGUUAUCCGGAAUUAUUGGGCGUAAAGGGCUCGUAGGCGGUUCGUCGCGUCCGGUGUGAAAGUCCAUCGCUUAACGGUGGAUCCGCGCCGGGUACGGGCGGGCUUGAGUGCGGUAGGGGAGACUGGAAUUCCCGGUGUAACGGUGGAAUGUGUAGAUAUCGG
rnacentral:rRNA from 1 species